AAAAAUAAAAAAUUAGCCAGCCAUGGUAGUGUAUGUCUGUAGUCCCAGCUACUUGAGAGGCUGAGGUGAGAGGAUCGCUUGAGCCCAGGAGGUCGAGGCAGCAGUGAGCUGUGAUCGUGUCACUGCCUUCCAGCUUGGGCAACAGAGAGAGACCCUGCCUCAAAAAGAAAAAUAAAAGAAAGAAAAUGUUAAUUUCUGCUCCUGUCAGAUUAGAGGGAAAUUCAAUCUCAGUCUUUUUUGCUGCUCUCCAAAGAUUCCAGAGUUGUACAUAGGAUCAAGGUAUAAGGAACAUCCUUAAAGUCAAUAGCAACUGGCCUCUACUAAUUAUUCCCAAGACACACAUGUCCCUUUGUGGCAGCAGUUCUGCCAGCGGCACGCGGGCUUUACCCAGUCAGUCUCCUUCAACUUGCCGUGUAGCUUUCUCCAGAAUGAGGCCACCCCCUUGGGGUGCUACCGGGAAGGAGAGUAUGGUUUUGGCAUUUGAGGGCCCAGAGAGAUAUACAUGAGGAUCUGGUCUCUGGAGCGUAUUGAAGAUAGAAAAGACAAGGAGAAGAUGCUGCAGAAACACCCAGAAG